AUACAGAGGGUGCGAGCGUUAAUCGGAAUUACUGGGCGUAAAGCGCGCGUAGGCGGCUUGGUCAGUCGGAUGUGAAAGCCCCGGGCUCAACCUGGGAAUGGCAUUCGAUACUGCCAGGCUAGAGUAUGGGAGAGGGAAGUGGAAUUUCCGGUGUAGCGGUGAAAUGCGUAGAUAUCGGAAAGAACACCAGUGGCGAAGGCGACUUCCUGGCCCAAUACUGACGCUGAGGUGCGAAAGCAUGGGGAGCGAACAGGAUUAGAUACCCCGGUAGUCC
rnacentral:rRNA from 1 species